rnacentral:rRNA from 1 species
UACGGGGGGGGGUAAGCGUUGUUCGGAAUUACUGGGCGUAAAGGGCUCGUAGGCGGCCAACUAAGUCAGACGUGAAAUCCCUCAGCUUAACUGGGGAACUGCGUCUGAUACUGGAUGGCUUGGAUCCGGGAGAGGGAUGCGGAAUUCCAGGUGUAGCGGUGAAAUUCGUAGAUAUCGAGAGGAACACCAGUGGCGAAGGCGAGUCUCUGGACGACUCCUGACACUGAGGCACGAAAGCUGGGGGAGCAAACAGG